rnacentral:rRNA from 1 species
UGGGGAAUAUUGGACAAUGGGCGGAAGCCUGAUCCAGCCAUGCCGCGUGAUUGAUGAAGUACUUCGGUACGUAAAGAUCUUUUAUGAGGGGAGAAGUCAUUGACGGUACCUCAUGAAUAAGGGGCUCCUAACUCUGUGCCAGCAGGAGCGGUUAUACAGAGGCCCCGAGCGUUACCCGGAAUCACUGGGCGUAAAGGGUGUGUAGGCGGUCGUAUUAGUCGUAUGUUAAAGCCCGGAGCCUAACUUCGGAAUCGCAUGCGAAACGGUACGACUUAGAGGGUGCGAGAGGUCUGUGGAACUCACGGUGUAGGGAUAAAAUCCGUUGGUAUCGUGGGGAACACCAAAAGCGAAGGCAGCAGACUGGCGCAUUCCUGACGCUGAAACACGAAAGCCAGGGGAG